CGCACUAGUGAUUUCCGGUUGAUCCUGGCAAAGGAUGAACGCUAGCGGCAGGCCUAACACAUGCAGGUCGAGGGGCAGCGGGGUGUAGCAAUACACCGCCGGCGACCGGCGCACGGGUGCGUAACGCGUAUGCAACCUGCCCGCGACAGGGGGAUAACGCUGUGAAAGCGGCACUAAUACCCCGUAACACCCGGGGCCGCAUGGCUUUGGGUUGAAAGGAGAGAUCCGGUCGCGGAUGGGCAUGCGUGACAUUAGCUAGUUGGCGGGGCAAACGGCCCCACCCAAGGCUGCGAUGUCUAGGGGAGCUGAGAGGCUAAUCCCCCACACUGGUACUGAGACACGGACCAGACUCCUACGGGAGGCAGCAGUGAGGAAUAUUGGUCAAUGGUCGGAAGACUGAACCAGCCAUGCCGCGUGGAGGAAGAAGGCCCUACGGGUCGUAAACUUCUUUUGCCCGGGAGUAAUAAGGGGGGUGCGCCCCGCGAUGAGAGUACCGGGCGAAUAAGCAUCGGCUAACUCCGUGCCAGCAGCCGCGGUAAUACGGAGGAUGCGAGCGUUAUCCGGAUUUAUUGGGUUUAAAGGGUGCGUAGGCGGACGCGUAAGUCGGCGGUGAAAUGUCCCGGCUCAACCGGGGAGCUGCCGUUGAUACUGCGCGACUAGGGUGCGAGCGGCGCCGGCGGAAUGUGUGGUGUAGCGGUGAAAUGCAUAGAUACCACACAGAACACCGAUCGCGAAGGCAGCUGGCGAGGACGUUACUGACGCUGAGGCACGAAGGCGUGGGGAUCGAACAGGAUUAGAUACCCUGGUAGUCCACGCAGUAA
rnacentral:rRNA from 1 species